rnacentral:lncRNA from 1 species
AACACUUUUAUAAUUUCUGUUGUGUUUGUAUCUAAAUAGUUCAAUAAAAUUCGACAAAAAUCAACUGUA